GAUGAACGCUGGCGGCGUGCCUAAUACAUGCAAGUCGAGCGAAUGGAUUAAGAGCUUGCUCUUAUGAAGUUAGCGGCGGACGGGUGAGUAACACGUGGGUAACCUGCCCAUAAGACUGGGAUAACUCCGGGAAACCGGGGCUAAUACCGGAUAACAUUUUGAACCGCAUGGUUCGAAAUUGAAAGGCGGCUUCGGCUGUCACUUAUGGAUGGACCCGCGUCGCAUUAGCUAGCUGGUGAGGUAACGGCUCACCAAGGCAACGAUGCGUAGCCGACCUGAGAGGGUGGUCGGCCACACUGGGACUGAGACACGGCCCAGACUCCUACGGGAGGCAGCAGUAGGGAAUCUUCCGCAAUGGACGAAAGUCUGACGGAGCAACGCCGCGUGAGUGAUGAAGGCUUUCGGGUCGUAAAACUCUGUUGUUGGGGAAGAACAAGUGCUAGUUGAAUAAGCUGGCACCUUGACGGUACCUAACCAGAAAGCCACGGCUAACUACGUGCCAGCCGCCGCAGUAA
rnacentral:rRNA from 1 species